CCCUUAGAUGUUCUGGGCAGCACGCGCGCUACAAUGGUCUUCGCAAACGGAUGCAUUCUCGAAGGAGAAUGCCAAUCUUGGAAUCUAUGCCUUGGUCGGGACAGUUGCUUGCAAUUUUUCGACUCGAACCAGGAAUUCCUUGUAAUCGUGAUUCAUCACAUCACGAUGAAUACGUCCCUGCCCUUUGUACACACCGCCCGUCGCUCCUACCGAUCGAAGAGUUAGGUGAAUUGUUUUGAUCGAUAAGAUUUGACUAUGGUCAACUCUCGUUGGGAAAUUCUGUGAAUCUGACUGUUUAGAGGAGGGAAAAGUCGUAACA
rnacentral:rRNA from 1 species